CAAGAACACGUGCAUUGUAAUAUUUCAAACAAAAACGAAGAUUGUACAGCUUUUCAGAAAUAGUGUCACCAAUAGCAUGACCCUUCAUUAAGGACGCCGAGUAUAU